AUUGAACGCUGGCGGCAGGCCUAACACAUGCAAGCCGAACGGUAGCACAGAGAGCUUGCUCUCGGGUGACGAGUGGCGGACGGGAGAGUAAUGUCUGGGAAACUGCCUGAUGGAGAGAGAUAACUACUGGAAACGGUAGCUAAUACCGCAUAACGUCGCAAGACCAAAGAGGGGGACCUUCUGUCCUCUUGCCAUCAGAUGUGCCCAGAUGGGAUUAGCGAGUAGGUGGGGUAACGGCUCACCUAGGCGACGAGCCCUAGCUGGUCUGAGAGGAUGACCAGCCACACUGGAACUGAGACACGGUCCAGACUCCUACGGGAGGCAGCAGUGGGGAAUAUUGCACAAUGGGCGCAAGCCUGAUGCAGCCAUGCCGCGUGUAUGAAGAAGGCCUUCGGGUUGUAAAGUACUUUCAGCGGGGAGGAAGGUGUUGUGGUUAAUAACCGCAGCAAUUGACGUUACCCGCAGAAGAAGCACCGGCUAACUCCGUGCCAGCCGCCGCAGUAACAC
rnacentral:rRNA from 1 species